CGGGGGGGAGGGGCGGCGAGGCGAGGCCUGCGGAGCGGAGGAAGACAAACAUAAAGAUGAAGUGCUUAAUUCAAGGUCACACAAUGUCGGGGAUGGACCUCCAGAUUUCCUUACUGUACUUAUCCUGUAUUACAUGAAGGAAAUGAAAUAAAAAGACUGCAGCCCCACUCCCAGCUACUCAGUGAGGUGGUAGCUAGAGACGGAGUCUUGCUAUGUUGCCCAGGCUGGUCUUGAACUCCUCACCUCAAGCGAUCCUCCCGUCUUGGCCUCCCAAGUGUCAGGAUUACGGGCAUGUGCUAUCACACCCAACCUGAUACAUUGCCUUUAUAAAUUUUUUUUUCUUUAUUCUAAAAACCAGAAAAAACAAAACUGGAUACAUGUGCAGAACAUGCAGGUUUGUUACAUAGCUGUACGUGUGCCAUGGUGGUUUGCUGCACCUAUUGACCUAUCCUGUGAGACGUGGUCUUGUAACACAGUGGUUAAGAAUGUGACUUUGGAGCCAGCCUGCUAGGGGCUGAAUUCUGACUCAGCCAUUUACUAACUGUGUGACCUUAGGUGGAGUCUCACUCUGUAGCCCAAGCUGGAGUGGCGUGAUCUCGACUCACUGCAACCUCCGCCUCCUGGGAUCAAGUGAUUCUCGUGCCUCAGCCUCCUGAGUAGCCGGGACUACAGGUCACAGAAUUUUCCACACUCCUUGACAGAGGUGCUUAACCCUUAUCCAUCAGCAUUCUCAGACAGCACCUCCGGUUAGGGACAGUAUCUGACCGUCCGACAUCCCUGCAGCCCCCAUGUGUCACACAGACUCAGCCUCAGGUAGAUGGUUUCCGUAGAUGGUGGCUUUCUUUGGACCCUUGACAUCAACCAGUUACUA
rnacentral:lncRNA from 10 species